rnacentral:rRNA from 1 species
CCUGCCCAAGAGAUCGGGAUAACACCUGGAAACAGAUGCUAAUACCGGAUAACAACAGAUGAUGCCUAUCAACUGUUUAAAAGAUGGUUCUUGCUAUCACUCUUGGAUGGACCUGCGGUGCAUUAGCUAGUUGGUAGGGCAACGGCCUACCAAGGCGAUGAUGCAUAGCCGAGUUGAGAGACUGAUCGGCCACAUUGGGACUGAGACACGGCCCAAACUCCUACGGGAGGCAGCAGGG